rnacentral:ncRNA from 1 species
UUUGCAUCAAGAGAAGGGCUGACGUCCUCGCCAACCUGCCAACCUGGGCAAGGUGGUUGCUGAUCUGACUGUGCUAAUACAGCGCGGUUAAUCAGAGAUGCGGUCGUUACCGACAAUAAAUCAGG